rnacentral:rRNA from 2 species
UUAGCGACUAAGCGUACACGGUGGAUGCCCUGGCAGUCAGAGGCGAUGAAGGACGUGCUAAUCUGCGAAAAGCGCCGGCGAGKUGAUAUGAACCUUUGACCCGGCGAUGUCCGAAUGGGGAAACCCAGUGCGAAUCCGUCACACUAUCGUUAACUGAAUACAUAGGUUAACGAGGCGAACCGGGGGAACUGAAACAUCUAAGUACCCCGAGGAAAAGAAAUCAACCGAGAUUCCCCCAGUAGCGGCGAGCGAACGGGGAGCAGCCCGGAGUCUGAAUCAGCUUGUGUGUUAGUGGAACGGUCUGGAAAGUCCGACGGUACAGGGUGAUAGUCCCGUACACGAAAGCACACAGGUUGUGAACUCGAAGAKWRGGGCGGGACACGUGGUAUCCUGUCUGAAUAUGGGGGGACCAUCCUCCAAGGCUAAAUACUCCUGACUGACCGAUAGUGAACCAGUACCGUGAGGGAAAGGCGAAAAGAACCCCGGCGAGGGGAGUGAAAAAGAACCUGAAACUGUGUACGUACAAGCAGUGGGAGCCUCUUUAUGGGAUGACUGCGUACCUUUUGUAUAAUGGGUCAGCGACUUAUAUUCUGUAGCAAGGUUAACCGUAUAGGGGAGCCGAAGGGAAACCGAGUCUUAACUGGGCGUUAAGUUGCAGGGUAUAGACCCGAAACCCGGUGAUCUAGCCAUGGGCAGGUUGAAGGUUGGGUAACACUAACUGGAGGACCGAACCGACUAAUGUUGAAAAAUUAGCGGAUGACCUGUGGCUGGGGGUGAAAGGCCAAUYAAACCGGGAGAUAGCUGGUUCUCCCCGAAAGCUAUUUAGGUAGCGCYUCGUGAACUCAUCUUCGGGGGUAGAGCACUGUUUCGGCUAAGGGGGSCAUCCCGGCUUACCAAACCCGAUGCAAAMUGCGAA